GUCUUCUCAUGUCCUAGCAUAGAGAUGUUCUCAGGACAUCAAUCGUUGAUAUAUUGAAAGAGAAGAAUUUUCUUCUCUUAGGAUUUUUUCUUUUAUAUUAUUAUUUUUAAUUUUAGGGAGGUCAAAAGGUUUGACUUCUUCCUUAUUCUUCCUCAUAUUUUUCAUCUCUUGGAAUGUCCAAGAGAUCCUAAGAAUAUCUUCUAGAUUAACCAUCC
rnacentral:lncRNA from 1 species